GAUGAACGCUGGCGGCGUGCCUAAUACAUGCAAGUCGAGCGAACUGAUUAGAAGCUUGCUUCUAUGACGUUAGCGGCGGACGGGUGAGUAACACGUGGGCAACCUGCCUGUAAGACUGGGAUAACUUCGGGAAACCGAAGCUAAUACCGGAUAGGAUCUUCUCCUUCAUGGGAGAUGAUUGAAAGAUGGUUUCGGCUAUCACUUACAGAUGGGCCCGCGGUGCAUUAGCUAGUUGGUGAGGUAACGGCUCACCAAGGCAACGAUGCAUAGCCGGACUGAGAGGGUGAUCGGCCACACUGGGACUGAGACACGGCCCAGACUCCUACGGGAGGCAGCAGUAGGGAAUCUUCCGCAAUGGACGAAAGUCUGACGGAGCAACGCCGCGUGCGUGAUGAAGGCUUUCGGGUCGUAAAACUCUGUUGUUAGGGAAGAACAAGUACGAGAGUAACUGCUCGUACCUUGACGGUACCUAACCAGAAAGCCACGGCUAACUACGUGCCAGCAGCCGCCGCGGUAA
rnacentral:rRNA from 1 species